UGAGCUGAUGCUCUAUCUUACAGUGAAAAGGGAAACAUUAAUUCCACGCCUAUACCUGUUCCCUAGUGACCCCGGCCAAAUACAGGCUGUGGAACAACAGGAAAUAAAGUUUCAAGGAUCUAAAAGGUUUCCCAACACAAGACCAGAGCGGUCCUUCAAACUGAAGAGUUCCUUCAGACUGAACAUUCCCUGUUCUACCUCCAUCAAUCCACCGAGGAUUCAUCUCAUACAUAGAGACACCACACCAAGCUUUUUCAGGGCGGUUGUGAAAAUGACAGGGAUUGACAUUGCGAUG